GGAUUGCACAUGAUCCCUCCGUAUGUACACUUGCAGAAGCCUUAGCGGGUCCAAAAGGCCGGCCGUCCGCGACUGAAAAGAAGAGAUGACCAUCCGCGGCGCCCCCUCGGGGGCGCGGCGCGAUCGCUAGUCAGGUCCCUCCGGGGAAGCCUCGGUCUUCGAGGUCUGGCGACACUUUCGAAUUGCGGGAAAACCCUAAAGCCAUCUUCUACCAAGCUCCCGGGGAAACCUGGGGAGUGGCUCGUGCUAACCACACGAGGUACGGUAAAAAGGAAGGUGGAUAACGUCCUCACGGACUGCAGUGGGCGAUCCGCAGCCAAGCCCUAACGCGACCGCCUCCGGGCGGGCUAUGGGACGGGUUCACAGACUAAGUGGAAGUGGGUGGGACGUCGUCCUGCUUAAGAUAUAGUCGGGCCGCCGUGGAAACAUGGCGGGUAAGUACAUGAGAGAACCCCGCCUCCGGGUGGGCAAUGUAUAACCGCUCCGUAGGUGAACCUGCGGAGGGAUCAUUACAGAGAAGCGUGGCGCCCCCGGGCGCCGCGUUCCCUCCAACCCUCUGUGAACACAACUUGUUGCUUCGGGGGCGACCCUGCCGUUUCGACGGCGAGCGCCCCCGGAGGCCCUCCAACACUGCAUCUCUGCGUCGGAGUUUAAGCAAAUUAAACAAAACUUUCAACAACGGAUCUCUUGGUUCUGGCAUCGAUGAAGAACGCAGCGAAAUGCGAUAAGUAAUGUGAAUUGCAGAAUUCAGUGAAUCAUCGAAUCUUUGAACGCACAUUGCGCCCUCUGGUAUUCCGGAGGGCAUGCCUGUUCGAGCGUCAGUACAACCACUCAAGCCUGGCUUGGUGUUGGGCGCCGCGGUGUUCCGCGCGCCUCAAAGUCUCCGGCUGAGCCGUCCGUCUCCAAGCGUUGUGAUCUUCAGAAUCGCUUCGGGGCGCGGGCGGUCGCGGCCGUUAAAUCUUGCACAUGGUUGACCUCGGAU
rnacentral:rRNA from 1 species